CAAUUAAUGGCCGAGUGGUAAGGCGGGGGACUGCAAAUCCUUUUUCCCCAGUUCAAAUCCGGGUGCCGC
rnacentral:tRNA from 1 species